UUCAACUCUUCAUUUUUUGUAUUCAUGCUUCAAAUUUCAACCUACAUUGACCAAUGUAUCCGUUGUGUACCUGGUAUAUGAAAGCAAAAGAAGAAGAGGAAUGAUCAGCAGAGCAGUAUGUAACAACACAGCAACACAGGCAGUCGAACAGCCCCAAACCAGUAACAGCAACAGAGACAGCCCAAUAACAGACCCAAACUCAGUAACAACUUAAGAGAAAACCCAACAGUAACUUCAGAAAACCAAACAGCAACAGCCAGUGGUAACAGUAACCAAUAACCAGUGCAGAUUUUGAAUACUAACAGAACUCCAGCAGAAUCAGUAAAAAAAAAACCUCAGAAGACCCAAUAAAACAGCACCAGCUACAGUCUUGAUGUUCAAUAGUGCAACAGAAGAGACCUCUUUUAUCUCUCAAACUACUCUUUUAGCUUUGGAAAAUUAGCUCAACUUUUAGCCUAUUUCAACUCAGUAUCUUCUGACUUAUCAAGGUUCCGAAAAAUCAACAGCUAAGAGCUUUUAAAAUUCUGAAAUCUUAGUGUCUUUCCUCUCAAAAUCAGUCCCUCCUUAAAACCAGUUUUCUUUUUCCUCCAGAAUCAAUCCUCUCGAAAAAAUCCUCUCCUAAAAAUGUCCUAAAUGAGCCUGUUUAUAGACCAGAAAUGGCAACCCCCCCCCAGGCUACCUUUCCCUCUACCCAUACCCCCUUAAACUAGUCAAAAUGCCCAUGAUAUUCCUGACAGACUCCCCAUACCACACGUUUUUCUCUUUUUUAAUCAAUGUUAUGGGUGUUUAACUUAUUUUAAUCAACCUCCCCCAUGCCAUUUAAUCUUGUUCCCCACUAUCUUAAAUAAUAUGUUAGUUUUGAUAGUAUUUUAAUAUCUUAUUGUCAGCCCAGCUUAAACUAACCAUCUUCUGAUCUUUUCAAACCCCAAACUACCCCUUUUUACCCCUGGUGAUUACUGUUUAAACCUAAGCUUCAACAGCCUGAAAUUUGAACUUCUGGAAGUUCAAACUCAAACUGCCCUAAACUGAGUUCUAACUAUUGCACUGCAGCUACAAACCAUUCACAGAUAAUGUCAAACAAUCAGCUAAACGACAAUGGUUCGAUCAAUCAUAUGAAGCUAUACGAAUCAGAAUAUUUGAACAUUCAGUCCUAUAAAACUAAUUGACGACGUUUAUCUAAUCGACUAUACUAAUUAUAACAUAGAACAAUCAGUCGAUCAAACAAAUAAUACAAACAGGGCCCCAAAUGGCUUCAGACAACUUUGCACAAAACAGAGGAACAACAUGAAUGGAACACUUGACGACACUGAUCAAAUCGAGUAUGUAUAUCACCAUACGUAUUUAACAAUAAACAGAAGAAUAGUCGACCAAAUAAAAGGGUCUUACGAAGACGGAGGAAAUUGAAAGAACAUAUCAGAAAUAUCAACAAACUAACUAAACAUGUUAACAAACUCAAACAACAUUCAAACAAGAAACAGAAAAGAAAAAGAAAACUCACUCUGGAAGCUCAACAACAAACGACCCAAGCUUUGACUGGAUUUGACCAUUUGAGGUUGAACAGACUUUAAUCGAGGUGUUCUCAACCGAGAACACUUCGAUUAAGGUCUAUUAUACCCCAACCCUCCGUUUAAACUGGCCGGAUUCCCAAAGUUCUUGUGUUCUAGGGUUUGAACAGUCCGAUUUGGGGCUUGAGGGUUUGUGGGUAGAUUCGGACCAAACCAAACUUGAUUUGGUCACGAGUGAAGCCAGGGUAGUGACCGGUGUGAAUCUGGGGUAGGUUGGUGUAGAUCGAGGUUUUGCUCGAACCUUCAAACGAAGAUUCGAGACGAUGGGGAAUGAUUCGAGGCAAAGGGUUAAUGGAUUCGUGUUCAGGGUGGUUGGGUGCAUCAGGGGUAUUACUUUGGUGGUCACCGACGUCGUGGUUGCCGGGUUUACGGCGAGGGUGAAGGGUGGCGGCUAGGUUUUGAAAUAAGGGGUGUUAGCUUUGUCUCUUGAGAGAGACGAUGGAAGGGGGGUGUUCGGAUAGGGGGCGUAGGGUGUGAUGAGGGGUUUAUAUAUGGGGUAGGGGAUUAGAUCCUGGCCGUUGGAUCGAGUUGGAUCUAUGGCCAGGAUCUAUUUUGUAGUAGGAAAUGACGUCGUCUCCAUUAAAUGAGACUGGGUCGGUCUAAGGUUUAAACAGGUCAGGUGCUGGGGAAGGCCAUGGGAUCGUUGGAUUAUAAUGGACGGACGACUCAGAUCAAACGCCCUAUGCGGCGUCAUUUGGGGGGCAUCCCUGGAAGACCUGGUUUUGGACUGGGUCAUUGUAUUGGUUUGGGCCUAAUUUUCAGUUGAAUUUUGGGCCCAAAUCUGAUAUUUUCCUUCUUAUAAUUAAACAAAAAUUCCUAAAACCAAAAUUAAAUUACACAAAUAUUAAUUAAUACCUAACAACAAUUAUCGCACGAAUUAAAACAUUUAAUAAAAUUACCAUGACAAUAAGUAGAAUAAAAUGCAUAUUUUUUUGUGAUUUUCGCUUUUAAAACCAAAUAAUGGUUAAUUAAUUCCUAAAUGUAUCAUGCAUGCGACACGUAUUUUUGUAUUUUUAACUAUAGCAAGGCGAGCAUUUACAGACAAAAUAAUAAUCAAAAACGUCACGCAAAUUCUCAAAAUUGUCCCCGAAGGUAAUUUGUUUUACUUUUUCGAUUUCUUUUGGAGCAGUUUCCGCGAAGCAAAAAUCACGUGCUCACAAUCAAGAUGUACCCACAAUGAUUUUUAUACAAAACAUCACUGGAAGGUUUCUGUUUCUCAUUCAAGCCUCUUGCAAAAACAGAGAAAUCAAUCCUCACAAGCUUGAAGAAUAAGGUUGAACGCAACUACGGACCAGUUCCUAAAUGAUAGCCUGUUGUUGUCCUAGUUGAGUUGUAACCUUGUAUUUGUACUUAUUGUAUCUCCUAAACUGCUUACCUAGAAGCAUUUGAUUAGGAAUCCUCUUGUAAAUCCGUAAACUCCUUGAGUCUAUGUUGUGACUAGAUUUAGUCAUAAGGAAAAGUCUUUGUAAUUGUAGAGUUACAAAGUGACUUGUGGUGAGAGCAUCACAAGUUAGAAAAAGUCUUUGUAACUAGGAAGUCACAAAGUGGCUUGUGGUAAGAGUACCACAAGUUAGUUGAGUAAAUCCUUUGCAAUAGGAAUCAUUGCAAAGUGGCUUGUAAUAGGUAGAUUGCAAGUUAGUGAAGUUAAAAGCCUACAAGUGUAGGUCGUAAUUUUUUGAUCCCCUUGUGUGGGAUUUUUCCACGUAGAAAUCCUCUGCCUUAUUUACAUACUGUUUUAUUAGCAUUCUCAGCGGAAUCUUGUAGAGGACCAGGUACUCUACAGUUUGGUGGACCCAUACAAACUAACACAAUCGAUGCCUGAUAAGGGGAAAUGAUAUUCUGUUCAAGUUCUUAUAACCUAUGCACAUUCUAAGUUCAUUUUCCCUUCUUAGAACCAUGUUGGCCAACCUCUUGGGUGAUUUAAUUCUAUCAUAUUUUAAGAAGUUCGGUUAUAUGUUGCGGUGGCUAUCACACCUCCUUUUUACUACCCCCGGAAGGGGAUAUAAGGGAGUUUUUUCCAAUUUAAGUGAUAAUCGAAACGGAAUAAUUUUAUUUAAAAUUCAGAGUCUCCACUUGGAAUAAUUUAUGGUGUCCCAAGUCACCGAUUUAAAAUCCCGAAUCGAGGAAGGAUUGACUCUUAUUUACGGUCUGUGAACACAGAAAUUCGGGUAAGGAACUCUGUGAAUCCGGGAGAAGGUGUUAGGCAUUCCCGAAUUUUGUAGUUUUAGCACGGUUGCUCAACUAUUAUUAUUGGUCUAUUUAUCUGAUUUUAAAAUAUUUUAAAACCUAUGUGCAUUUUAUUCCUUUUAAAUCCGCUUUUAAUAAUCUGAUUGUCAUACAAUCAAUUAUUUGAUUACACAUUGCGAAUCAUGUCAUGGGAACCGUACCCACGAUCUACAACAUAUUUAUUUUAUUAACAAGAUUAAUUUGUGGCCGGGUCAUAUAAAUGUACCCCCGGAUUUUAGAAAUUAGGCAUCACAACUACGUCACGGGAACUGUAUUUGUAGCUAUGACAAUUAUUUAAUUAACGCGCCUAAAGCAAACUACGAUAUUCACGAAUCAUUCUCUAACUACUUUGAGAUUUAUUGGAAAUGGAUUCAAGCACGAUGACACAGCAUGCCUUUACAAUCACAUGCCUUGAUUUUGCAUAGGUAACAAAAGCUAUUGUCAUGUUAGAGGGGAGACCAACUUGACUGAACUUAACAAAUGAGCAUAAAAUGCAUUUACUACCUAGUUCAUUAAAUCCGGUUAAUAAUAAUCUAACCUAUAGUGUCCAAAAUUACUAACUAAUUACACAUUCCUUGGUAGUAGAAACACAAACCAGAUUUCUUCAAACUAAAAUAACUGAAGCAUUGGUUUUAAGCCUAAUCUUCAAAGAAGUCAAUUGCUCCAAUCUUUUAACUUAGAACCAAUCAACCAUGAACCAAAAUUUAUGUAAGUGAAUCAGAUCCGCUGAAACGUUUGGGAAAAUUCAUAGUUUAGGCAUUCAAAAUAGAGUGCAAAUGAACAAAUAAUUCAAAACAAGGAAAAACAUCAAAGAUGUUAAAUAAAAAGAACAACAGAGCAUUCAAUUUAAACAAAACAACUAGAACAAAUAUAACAUUGCAUUUGGAAUAUUUAGAUGGAGGAAAAACCUUUAUUGCUAAAUAUUUAAGUUAUGAGAUUGGUUCGAAUCAACAAAGAUCUCAGAUCGGACAACUGGAUGGUGAUCGGAACCUCAUCGGCGACCUCUCAAGAACCUCGAAACCUCGCCAAAAAAAAUUCGAACGAUGAUCUCACAAACACGAAUGAAGAAACGAAGCAGGGGCAGUAAACGAGAUUCACGGACGGGAUUCACAGCUGGACUCAUUGGUGGUUGUUGAUGGUAUGUUCUGGUUUUCGGCUGGAGCUCAUUUUUCCGGCGAGCUGCUGGAGGAGGAAGAUGAAGAGAGCAGCAGCUGGUGUUCAAGGUUUUGGUGAGUUUUGUCAACGGGAAGAAUCAGAAGCAAGAAAAGAGAUGGAUGGCUAUGAUGUUCGCUGGUGGAAGUCGACGGUAGCGGUUGUAUUGUGGUUGUUUGGUCGCUGGUUUGUUUAAGAGGAGGGGUAACGGCUGGAGCUUGAAGAUGAAGAAGCAAAGGGGUCAAAAAUGGCUAGGAGGGUCUAUCGUUGGAGGUCCAGGGCUGGAAGAUGAAGAAGCAGCAGCAGCUCGUUGGUUUUGCGGCUAGUUCGGAUCUUUGGAUAUUAAAGGUUUUUUAGGGUUUUCCAAGUUUUUGGGAAGAAGAAGGAGCUCAAGGUUUUGUGUAGUCUUUUUUUUUUUUUUUUGUUUUUACGGCUGAUAUAGGUCUAUUUUUAGGUUCUAGGAUAUUUGCUCAAUCUCCACGAAGAAGAGGAACCCAGCUUCAUUUUUGUUCUCCUUUCUUUAAGAAAAU
rnacentral:lncRNA from 1 species